UAAAAAAGGAAAAUUUUUCACUGCAUAUUUUCACAGUUUACGACUCUGUAGCGCCUCCUGCUGUCCAAACACUGAGUGUGAGCUCUGACAGCUGCUAUCUGCUGUGUGCUGUGGACAAAGCUGCAGAGAUCACACUGUGGUGGUACAAAGAUGAGGAGGUAGUGAACCAGAGCAGCUCUGCUGGAUCUCUGCCUCUCACUGUGACCAAGCAGGACCUCAGCUCCUCUUACAGAUGUGUGGCUGGAAACCCUGCAGAAGAAAGGACUCUUCCAGUGGAUCUUCAGACGUUCUGUGGAGAGAACUCCACUGCAGUGCAGAACAACACAGAAUCAAGUUAUCAUUGGAUGACAGUUGGAAUCUUCACUGGAUAUGCUGCAUUUAAUGUUACACUAUUCACUGCAUUUUUUUUAUCUGGUGGACGUGCUUCAAGAGAAAUGAGUGGGCAGCUGCAGAAAGACAAGAUUCUGAGGACAUGACGCAGCAUGCUGUGUCAUUCCAGGAUCCCACGACGGAGACGGAGCAGGUCAUUGAAUUUUUAGAGAGCCUCUCGGCAGAAGAUCCACAAAUGGUG
ensembl:lncRNA